CGCCUUGCCAGCCCGCUCAGAAACUCAAAGGAAUUGACGGGGGCCCGCACAAGCGGUGGAGCAUGUGGUUUAAUUCGAUGGUACGCGAGAAACCUUACCAGGACUUGACAUACACCGGAAGCGCCGUGAAAGCGGCGUGCCGCUUGCGGCCGGUGAACAGGUGCUGCAUGGCUGUCGUCAGCUCGUGCUGUGAAGUGUUGGGCUAAGUCCCGCAACGAGCGCAACCCCUGCCGUCUGUUGCCACCACGAAAGGUGGGGACUCAGGCGGGACCGCCGGUGACAAACCGGAGGAAGGUGGGGACGACGUCAAGUCAUCAUGGCCCUUAUGUCCUGGGCCACACACGUGCUACAAUGGCCGGUACAGAGCGCAGCGAGGCCGCGAGGCGGAGCGAAUCGCUUAAAGCCGGUCCCAGUACGGAUUGGAGUCUGCAACCCGACUCCAUGAAGUUGGAAUCGCUAGUAAUCGCGCAUCAGCAUGGCGCGGUGAAUACGUUCCCGGGCCUU
rnacentral:rRNA from 1 species